UACGUAGGGUGCGAGCGUUGUCCGGAAUUAUUGGGCGUAAAGAGCUCGUAGGCGGUUUGUCGCGUCGACUGUGAAAACCCGAGGCUUAACCUCGGGCCUGCAGUCGAUACGGGCAGACUAGAGUUCGGUAGGGGAGACUGGAAUUCCUGGUGUAGCGGUGAAAUGCGCAGAUAUCAGGAGGAACACCGGUGGCGAAGGCGGUUCUCUGGGCCUUACCUGACGCUGAGGAGCGAAAGCGUGGGGAGCAAACAGG
rnacentral:rRNA from 1 species